GCACAUUGAAAGAAAUCAAAGGUGUUCUGAUGGGAUUUUCGACACUUUCAACAUUGACUAAACAGCGUCUGGUGGAUGCAGAUGGCAUCAUUAAUCCCAGCGCUUUCUACAUCUACCUGACGGCUUGGGUCAGCAACGACCCCGUCGCGUAUGCUGCCUCCCAGGCCAACAUCCGGCCACACCGACCAGAAUGGGUCCACGACAAAGCCGACUACAUGCCUGAAACAAGGCUGAGAAUCCCGGCAGCAGAGCCCAUCGAGUAUGCCCAGUUCCCUUUCUACCUCAACGGCUUGCGGGACACCUCAGACUUUGUGGAGGCAAUUGAAAAAGUAAGGACCAUCUGCAGCAACUAUACGAGCCUGGGGCUGUCCAGUUACCCCAACGGCUACCCCUUCCUCUUCUGGGAGCAGUACAUCGGCCUCCGCCACUGGCUGCUGCUGUUCAUCAGCGUGGUGUUGGCCUGCACAUUCCUCGUGUGCGCUGUCUUCCUUCUGAACCCCUGGACGGCCGGGAUCAUUGUGAUGG
rnacentral:sRNA from 1 species